rnacentral:rRNA from 1 species
GACGAACGCUGGCGGCGCGCUUAACACAUGCAAGUCGAACGGAAAGGCCUGCUUUCCCUUGUGGAUUGCGGGUACUCGAGUGGCGAACGGGUGAGUAACACGUGAGUGAUCUGCCCCCAACUUGGGUAUAAGCCUGGGAAACUGGGUCUAAUUCCCGAUAGGACUGCAGGGUGGUGCCUGUGGUGGAAAACGAUUUUCUAGUGGUUGGGGAUGAGCUCGCGGCCUAUCAGCUUGUUGGUGGGGUAAUGGCCUACCAAGGCGGCGACGGGUAGCCGGCCUGAGAGGGUGGACGGCCACAUUGGGACUGAGAUACGGCCCAGACUCCGACGGGAGGCAGCAGUGGGGAAUAAUGCACAAUGGGCGGAAGCCUGAUGCAGCGACGCCGCGUGGGGGAUGACGGCCUUCGGGUUGUAAACUCCUUUCGACCGCGAGGAAGCCACCUGGUUGGAAGGGUGGUGACGGUAGUGGUAGAAGAAGCACCGGCUAACUACG